GGAGAGAUGGUUGAGUUGGUCGAAGGCGCUCGCCUGGAAAGCGGGUAGGCGGGAAACCGCCUCGAGGGUUCGAAUCCCUCUCUCUCCGCCA
rnacentral:tRNA from 1 species